rnacentral:rRNA from 1 species
CCUACGGGUGGCAGCAGUCGAGAAUCAUUCACAAUGGGGGAAACCCUGAUGGUGCGACGCCGCGUGGGGGAAUGAAGGUCUUCGGAUUGUAAACCCCUGUCAUGUGGGAGCAAAUUAAAAAGAUAGUACCACAAGAGGAAGAGACGGCUAACUCUGUGCCAGCAGCCGCGGUAAUACCGAGGUCUCAAGCGUUGUUCGGAAUCACUGGGCGUAAGGCGUGCGUAGGCUGUUUCGUAAGUCGUGUGUGAAAGGCGCGGGCUCAACCCGCGGACGGCACAUGAUACUGCGAGACUAGAGUAAUGGAGGGGGAACCGGAAUUCUCGGUGUAGCAGUGAAAUGCGUAGAUAUCGAGAGGAACACUCGUGGCGAAGGCGGGUUCCUGGACAUUAACUGACGCUGAGGCACGAAGGCCAGGGGAGCGAAAGGGAUUAGAUACCCGGGUAGUC